AAAGCUUAACUAUCACAGCCCCCAAUCACUUAAACACCCCCAACCCCCUAACCCAUAUUGAACCAUUUUAUACUACUAUAAAAAUGAUCAUGCUAGAACUAGUAACAAGAACUUGCCCUUCUCCUCAUGUAAGCAUAAACCAAAACGGACACUCCAUUGGUAAUCAACGUAAAUGCCAAACUAUAAUAACAGAUACCAGAAAACCUUAUAGCCAACCAACGUUAUCCUAACACCAGAACAUCUCAGGAAAGAUUAAAAGAGAGAGAAGGAACUCGGCAAAUUUUAGCCCCGCCUGUUUACCAAAAACAUCGCCUCCUGGCCAAACAUAGGAGGUCCAGCCUGCCCAGUGAUAACAUUCAACGGCCGCGGUAUACUAACCGUGCGAAGGUAGCAUAAUCACUUGUUCUUUAAAUAAGGACUUGUAUCAACGGCAUCACGAGGACUAUACUGUCUCCCCUCUCCAAUCAGUGAAACUGAUCUCCCCGUGAAGAAGCGGGGAUUAAUAUAUAAGACGAGAAGACCCCAUGGAGCUUUAAACCCAAUAUACACCCCUUCGCUCAAGCACCAAUUUAACCUCAAGAGCCUGUAUAUCGGUUUUAGGCUGGGGGGGCCACGGAGUAAAAUUAAACCUCCACAACAAAUGGGCUAAUUACCCUUAUCCACGACUUACAAAUCUAAGAAUCAUCAAAAUGAUGUUUAAUGACCCGAUAAUUCGAUCAUUGAACCAAGUUACCCUGGGGAUAACAGCGCAAUCCGCUUCAAGAGCCCAUAUCGACAAGCGGGUUUACGACCUCGAUGUUGGAUCAGGGUACCCCAGUGGUGCAACCGCUACUAACGGUUCGUUUGUUCAACGAUUAAAA
rnacentral:rRNA from 1 species